rnacentral:rRNA from 1 species
UACGUAGGGGGCAAGCGUUAUCCGGAAUUACUGGGUGUAAAGGGAGCGUAGACGGUAAUGUAAGUCUGGAGUGAAAGGCGGGGGCCCAACCCCCGGACUGCUCUGGAAACUAUGUUACUAGAGUGCAGGAGAGGUAAGCGGUAUUCCUAGUGUAGCGGUGAAAUGCGUAGAGAUUAGGAAGAACACCAGUGGCGAAGGCGAUUCUCUGGACUGUAACUGACGCUGAGGCUCGAAAGCGUGGGGAGCAAACAGG